rnacentral:rRNA from 1 species
AGAGUUUGAUCAUGGCUCAGAAUGAACGUUGGCGGCGUGGAUUAGGCAUGCAAGUCGAGCGAGAAUUCCCCGCAAGGGGAAGGACAGCGGCGAAGGGGAGAGCAAAUCGUAGUUACCUACCCUCAGGACUGGGAUAGCUCCGGGAAACCGGAGGUAAUACCAGAUAAUGUCUUCGGACCAAAGGUGUGAUUCCGCCCGAGGAGGGGACUGCGUCCUAUUAGCUAGUUGGUGAGGUAACGGCUCACCAAGGCGGUGAUGGGUACGGGGUGUGAGAGCAUGCCCCCGCUCACUGGGACUGAGACACUGCCCAGACACCUACGGGUGGCUGCAGUCGAGGAUCUUCGGCAAUGGGCGAAAGCCUGACCGAGCGACGCCGCGUGCGGGAUGAAGGCCUUCGGGUUGUAAACCGCCGUCGGAGUGGAGGAAAUUCCAGGGGGCAAUCCCUCUGGAUUGACUAAUACUCAGAGGAAGGACGGGCUAAGUUCGUGCCAGCAGCCGCGGUAAGACGAACCGUCCAAACGUUAUUCGGAAUCACUGGGCUUAAAGGGUGCGUAGGCGGCCCAGAAAGUAGGGUGUGAAAGCCCUCGGCUCAACCGAGGAAUUGCGCCCUAAACUACUGGGCUCGAGGAAGACAGAGGUAAGCGGAACUUAGGGUGGAGCGGUGAAAUGCGUUGAUAUCCUAAGGAACACCAGGAGCGAAAGCGGCUUACUGGGUCUUAUCUGACGCUGACGCACGAAAGCUAGGGGAGCGAACGGGAUUAGAUACCCCCGUAGUCC